CCUACGGGUGGCAGCAGUGAGGAAUAUUGGUCAAUGGACGAGAGUCUGAACCAGCCAAGUAGCGUGAAGGAUGACUGCCCUAUGGGUUGUAAACUUCUUUUAUAUGGGAAUAAAACGUUCCACGUGUGGGAUUUUGUAUGUACCAUAUGAAUAAGGAUCGGCUAACUCCGUGCCAGCAGCCGCGGUAAUACGGAGGAUCCGAGCGUUAUCCGGAUUUAUUGGGUUUAAAGGGUGCGGAGGUGGAUUGUUAAGUCAGUGGUGAAAGUUUGAGGCUCAACCGUAAAAUUGCAGUUGAAACUUGCAGUCUUGAGGAUAGUAGAGGGGGGCGGAAUUCGUGGUGUAGCUGUGAAAUGCUUAGAUAUCACGAAGAACUCCGAUUGCGAAGGCAGUUCACUGGACUGCAACUGACACUGAGGCUCGAAAGUGUGGGUAUCAAACAGGAUUAGAUACCCUAGUAGUC
rnacentral:rRNA from 1 species